UCAGGACGAACGCUGGCGGCGUGCCUAAUACAUGCAAGUCGAACGGUCUUUCUAUGGAAGCUUGCUUCCACUGAGAAGAUAGUGGCGAACGGGUGAGUAACACGUGGGUAACCUGCCCAUAAGAGGGGGAGUAACAUCCGGAAACGGGUGCUAAUACCGCAUAGUUUUCUUGAUCGCAUGAUUGAGAAAGGAAAGACGGCCUUUGUGCUGUCGCUUAUGGAUGGACCCGCGGCGUAUUAGUUAGUUGGUGAGGUAACGGCUCACCAAGACGAUGAUACGUAGCCGACCUGAGAGGGUGAUCGGCCACAUUGGGACUGAGACACGGCCCAAACUCCUACGGGAGGCAGCAGUAGGGAAUCUUCCGCAAUGGACGAAAGUCUGACGGAGCAACGCCGCGUGAGUGAAAGAAGGUUUUCGGAUCGUAAAACUCUGUUGUCAGAGAAGAACAAGUUGGAGAGUAACUGCUCCAGCCUUGACGGUAUCUGACCAGAAAGCCACGGCUAACUACGUGCCAGCCGCCGC
rnacentral:rRNA from 1 species